ACGGGUGAGUAACACGUGGGCAACCUGCCCUUGAGACUGGGAUAACUUCGGGAAACCGGAGCUAAUACCGGAUAAUACAAGGAACCUCCUGGUUCCUUGUUGAAAGAUGGUUUCGGCUAUCACUUAAGGAUGGGCCCGCGGCGCAUUAGCUAGUUGGUGAGGUAACGGCUCACCAAGGCGACGAUGCGUAGCCGACCUGAGAGGGUGAUCGGCCACACUGGGACUGAGACACGGCCCAGACUCCUACGGGAGGCAGCAGUAGGGAAUCUUCCACAAUGGACGAAAGUCUGAUGGAGCAACGCCGCGUGAGUGAUGAAGGCCUUCGGGUCGUAAAGCUCUGUUGUUAGGGAAGAACAAGUGCGAGAGUAACUGCUCGCACCUUGACGGUACCUAACCAGAAAGCCACGGCUAACUACGUGCCAGCAGCCGCGGUAAUACGUAGGUGGCAAGCGUUAUCCGGAAUUAUUGGGCGUAAAGCGCGCGCAGGUGGUUUCUUAAGUCUGAUGUGAAAGCCCACGGCUCAACCGUGGAGGGUCAUUGGAAACUGGGGAACUUGAGUGCAGAAGAGGAAAGUGGAAU
rnacentral:rRNA from 1 species